rnacentral:snRNA from 1 species
UCACUCUGGUUUCCCUUCAACACACGUAUAAAUCUUUCGCCUUUUACUAAAGAUUUCCGUGGAGGGGAACGACUUGAUGAGUCUAUAAACCAAUUUUUCACCUGCCCCGGUGCAAACUGGGGCG